GUGUGUAGAGAGGGAAGAAGGAGAAGAAGCAACCACAACACACAACUCCAGACUCCUGCAACCCUCAAGAAGCCACGGGUCCGCAAAGAAAGAAAAUGGCCCCCCACGGCCUCCUGCUUGGCUUGCUGUCUGCGACCGUGCUGUCACUGCUGGAGGGCAGCUCGGCAUUCCUGUCGCACCCCCGCCUGAAGGGCAGGUUUCAGAGGGACCGCAGGAACAUCCGCCCCAACAUCAUCCUGGUGCUGACGGACGACCAGGAUGUGGAGCUGGGUUCCAUGCAGGUGAUGAACAAGACCCGGCGCAUCAUGGAGCAGGGCGGGGCGCACUUCGUCAACGCCUUCGUGACCACGCCCAUGUGCUGCCCCUCACGUUCCUCCAUCCUCACCGGCAAGUACGUCCACAACCACAACACCUACACCAACAACGAGAACUGCUCCUCGCCCUCCUGGCAGGCGCAGCACGAGGGCCGCACCUUCGCCGUGUACCUCAACAGCACCGGCUACCGCACAGCUUUCUUCGGGAAGUAUCUUAAUGAGUACAAUGGCUCCUAUGUGCCGCCUGGCUGGAAGGAGUGGGUCGGACUCCUCAAAAACUCCCGCUUUUAUAACUACACGCUGUGCCGCAACGGAGUGAAGGAGAAGCACGGCUCCGACUACUCCAGGGAUUACCUCACAGACCUCAUCACCAAUGACAGUGUGAGCUUCUUCCGCACAUCCAAGAAGAUGUACCCACACAGGCCGGUCCUAAUGGUCAUCAGCCAUGCAGCCCCCCACGGCCCUGAGGACUCAGCCCCUCAAUACUCACGCCUCUUCCCCAACGCAUCCCAGCACAUCACACCGAGCUACAACUACGCGCCCAACCCGGACAAGCACUGGAUCAUGCGCUACACGGGGCCCAUGAAGCCCAUCCACAUGGAAUUCACCAACAUGCUGCAGCGGAAGCGCCUGCAGACCCUCAUGUCCGUCGAUGACUCCAUGGAGACGAUUUACAACAUGCUGGUGGAGACGGGCGAGCUGGAAAACACCUACAUCGUGUACACCGCCGACCACGGCUACCACAUCGGCCAGUUUGGCCUGGUGAAAGGGAAGUCCAUGCCGUACGAGUUCGACAUCAGGGUCCCGUUCUACGUGAGGGGCCCCAACGUGGAGGCUGGCUCUCUGAAUCCCCACAUUGUCCUCAACAUCGACCUGGCCCCCACCAUCCUGGACAUCGCAGGCCUGGACAUCCCCACGGAUAUGGAUGGGAAAUCUAUCCUCAAGCUGCUGGACACAGAGCGGCCGGUGAAUCGGUUUCACUUGAAAAGGAAGAUGAGGGUCUGGCGGGACUCCUUCCUGGUGGAGAGAGGCAAACUGCUCCACAAGCGGGACAACGACAAGGUGGAUGCCCAGGAGGAGAACUUCCUACCCAAGUACCAGCGCGUGAAGGACCUGUGUCAGCGUGCCGAGUAUCAGACGGCGUGCGAGCAACUGGGACAGAAGUGGCAGUGUGUGGAGGACGCCGCGGGGAAGCUGCAGCUGCACAAGUGCAAGGGCCCCGUGCGGCCGGGUGGCAGCAGAGCCCUCUCCAACCUGGUGCCCAAGUACUACGGGCAGGGCAGCGAGGCCUGCACCUGUGACGGCGGGGACUACAGGCUCAGCCUAGCCGGACGCCAGAAAAAGUUCUUCAAGAAGAAGUACAAGGCCAGCUAUGCCCGUAACCGCUCCAUCCGCUCAGUGGCCAUCCAGGUGGAUGACACAUCCCAACCCCGCAACCUUACCAAACGGCAUUGGCCAGGGGCCCCUGAGGACCAAGAUGACAAGGACGGUGGGGACUUCAGUGGUACUGGAGGCCUUCCAGACUACGCAGCCCCCAACCCCAUUAAAGUGACACAUCGGUGCUACAUCCUAGAGAAUGACACGGUCCAGUGUGACCUGGACCUGUACAAAUCCCUGCAGGCCUGGAAAGACCACAAGCUGCACAUUGACCACGAGAUCGAAACUCUUCAGAACAAAAUUAAGAACCUAAGGGAAGUCCGAGGUCACCUGAAGAAGAAGCGACCAGAAGAAUGUGAUUGCCACAAAAUCAGUUACCAAACCCAGCACAAAGGCCGCCUCAAGCACAAAGGCUCCAGUCUGCAUCCUUUCAGGAAGGGUCUGCAGGAGAAGGACAAGGUGUGGCUGUUGCGGGAGCAGAAGCGCAAGAAGAAACUUCGCAAGCUGCUCAAGCGACUGCAGAACAACGACACGUGCAGCAUGCCCGGCCUCACGUGCUUCACCCACGACAACCAGCACUGGCAGACGGCACCUCUCUGGACAUUGGGGCCUUUCUGUGCCUGUACCAGCGCCAACAAUAACACGUACUGGUGCAUGAGGACAAUCAACGAGACCCACAAUUUCCUCUUCUGUGAAUUUGCAACUGGCUUCCUAGAGUACUUUGAUCUCAACACAGACCCAUACCAGCUGAUGAAUGCAGUGAACACACUGGACAGGGAUGUCCUCAAUCAGCUACACGUACAGCUCAUGGAGCUGAGGAGCUGCAAGGGUUACAAGCAGUGUAACCCCCGGACUCGAAACAUGGACCUGGGACUUAAAGAUGGAGGAAGCUAUGAGCAGUACAGGCAGUUUCAGCGUCGAAAGUGGCCAGAAAUGAAGAGACCUUCUUCCAAAUCACUGGGACAACUAUGGGAAGGCUGGGAAGGUUAAGAAGCAACAGAGGUGGACCUCCAAAAACAGAGUUACCACCUGACUGUGCAGGCAGUGAAGAACCAAAUGUGAUUUCCAGCAGACCUAGGCUGUAGGCCAGGAGGCCUGAAAGAGACAGAACUUGCUUCAGUCAACCGGAAAAUUCUGGAGGAUAACCAUCAGAGCAGAGAGAACUUCAGGAAGUCCAUUUUUGCCCCUGCUUUUGCUUUGGAUUAUACCUCACCAGCUGCACAAAAUGCAUUUUCAUAUCAAAUAGUCACCACUAACCCUCCCUGAGAGGUUCACAUGGGAAAAAGAACAGAAAGAUUUUCUUAGAAAUCUCCCCCAAGAGUGAAAGUCACUGGAAUUUUUUAAAAUCAUAGGGGAAAACAACCCUGUUUUAAAUCCUCAUUUCUUUUGGUUCAUCACAAAGAAGGAACUAAGAAGCAAGACAGAGGCAACUUGGAGAGGCUGAAAACAGUGCCCAGAGUUUGACAGUGAGUCAAUAGCACAAAAGAAGUGACAUUUACCUAACACUAUAGCCCUGGUUGCCUCUGAAGAAACUGACUUCACUGUAUAUAUGUGACUAUUUACAUGUAACCAACAUGGGAACUUUAGGGGCAUCUGACUAAUAAGAAAUCCCAAUUUUCAAGAGUGGUGGUGUCAAUAAACGCUCAGUGGCCAGUGUAAAAGAAAAUCCCUUGCAGUUGUGAACAUUUCUGUUCCUGCCUAGAUAUCAGUUCUCCCUUUGUUAUCUACCCCAAGACUGACGAUUUUUUUUUAAGGUACUGAAAAGAAAUGAAGUUGAUGUAUGUCCCAAGUUUUAAUGAAACUGUAUUUGUAAAGAAAUUUUGUAGUAUAAGUAUUGUCAUACGAUGUUCAAAACCACAGCCAGUGACCAGCAAUUGGUAUGAAAAAAACCUUUGACAUUUUGUAAAAGGCCAUUCUUGGGA